GCUGGCGGCAUGCCUUCACAUGGCAAGUCGAACGGCAGCGCGGGAGCAAUCCUGGCGGCGAGUGGCGAACGGGUGAGUAAUACAUCGGAACGUGCCCAAUCGUGGGGGAUAACGCAGCGAAAGCUGUGCUAAUACCGCAUACGAUCUACGGAUGAAAGCAGGGGAUCGCAAGACCUUGCGCGAAUGGAGCGGCCGAUGGCAGAUUAGGUAGUUGGUGAGGUAAAGGCUCACCAAGCCUUCGAUCUGUAGCUGGUCUGAGAGGACGACCAGCCACACUGGGACUGAGACACGGCCCAGACUCCUACGGGAGGCAGCAGUGGGGAAUUUUGGACAAUGGGCGAAAGCCUGAUCCAGCCAUGCCGCGUGCAGGAUGAAGGCCUUCGGGUUGUAAACUGCUUUUGUACNGAACGAAACGGCCUUUUCUAAUAAAGAGGGCUAAUGACGGUACCGUAAGAAUAAGCACCGGCUAACUACNUGCCANCAGCCGCGGUAAUACGUAAGGU
rnacentral:rRNA from 1 species